UGGGGAAUAUUGCACAAUGGGCGCAAGCCUGAUGCAGCCAUGCCGCGUGUGUGAAGAAGGCCUUCGGGUUGUAAAGCACUUUCAGCGAGGAGGAAGGUGGUGAGCUUAAUACGCUCAUCAAUUGACGUUACUCGCAGAAGAAGCACCGGCUAACUCCGUGCCAGCAGCCGCGGUAAUACGGAGGGUGCAAGCGUUAAUCGGAAUUACUGGGCGUAAAGCGCACGCAGGCGGUUUGUUAAGUCAGAUGUGAAAUCCCCGGGCUCAACCUGGGAACUGCAUUUGAAACUGGCAAGCUAGAGUCUCGUAGAGGGGGGUAGAAUUCCAGGUGUAGCGGUGAAAUGCGUAGAGAUCUGGAGGAAUACCGGUGGCGAAGGCGGCCCCCUGGACGAAGACUGACGCUCAGGUGCGAAAAGCGUGGGGCAGCAAACAGGAUUAGAUACCCUGGUAGUCCACGCUGUAAACGAUGUCGAUUUGGAGGUUGUGCCCUUGAGGCGUGGCUUCCGGAGCUAACGUGUUAAAUCGACCGCCUGGGGAGUACGGCCGCAAGGUUAAAACUUAAAUGAAUUGAC
rnacentral:rRNA from 1 species